rnacentral:lncRNA from 1 species
AGUGAGAUUUAUAUAUUUCAUUCAGAAAAUAGUCAAAGUGUACUUGAUUUUGAAAUUCUUAAAGAAUUUAAGAAUUAAAUUAAAGCUGAAAGGGGCAUUUGCGCCCCCCCUCCUCACUUUAGAGAUGAGGAAGCAGUAGCCUGGAGAAAUUAAGUGUCUCGGUCACAUCACAAGGCCCCGUGGCAGGCUACUCGAUUUCCAGCUUUCUCCCAUUACUGUGCAUCUUCCUUGCAUCCAAAAUGUCUGACUCUCUACCUGGUCCUCAGCUGUUGUCACAGAUGCUUAAUCACUCACCCCUCUUUUGGAUUUCUUCCCUUUUAUUAUGGAAAAUUUUCAAACAUAAAGGUAAAGAAUAUAAUAGAAAUAACUCCCAUGUGCCCCUCACUCAGCUUCUACAAUUAUUCACAUAUGACCAAUCCCCUUUUAUCUGUACCUAUCCCCAGUUCCCGUUCCUGCACAGAUGAUUUCAAAGCAAAUGCAAACAUCAUGGAAUUUCAUCUGUAAAUACUCGGGUGUCACAGUGUGUGCGCCCUCUCGCACAUGUGUAAAACCCACACUACAGCUAUCACGGCUAACAAAAUUAACAAUUAGUUCCUGAAUAGCAAAUUUCCCCGAUUGUCUGUCUGUCUGUCUUUCUGUCUGUCUUUCUCUCUCUUUUGCAAUUGUUUUGUUAGAGUCAGGAUCCAGACAAAGCUGGAGAUCGGGUCUCAGGUCUCAGGUUAUCUGAUCAUUCGAAGUUCUGGCGCUAGAAGGUUUGCUGAGCAAGGGGAAAUACGUUGCAAGACAAGGCUCCUCAGAAUCGUCGUGGAUCGCGUUUGUGUACAUGCCUUGACCCUUCCUGAGCUUCUCUGACCCAUGGCAUUCGGGUCAGAUCUGGCAAACAGCCCAGUCCACACAACCCAGCCCAACAAUCGCUCUGCAGCCCAAGUUUCCUCGUGGUCCUGCCUUACAUGGGAACAGAAAGGUCAAGGCUUGAAGUAAAAUGACAGAUGGAAAGAAAAGCCUCUUGCAGCCUGUGGAGCUCCGUGAAAUCCUUCCUUAUGGGAUUUCCCUUGUCA